UCAGGAAACAGGAGGAGCUCAUGUAGCCCAGGCUGGCCUCCAGUUCCAUAUAUAGAUGAAGAUGACCUUGAACUCCUGAUCCUACCCCCACCCCCACCCCCGCAGACUGGGAUAUCAGGUAUAUGCCACCACACCCAGUUUACAUGAUGCUGGAGAUCAAACCAAGGGCCCUGUGCAUGCUGGGUAAGCACUCUACCUCCCGAGCUGCAUCCCCAGCACACAUCUGUCCUCUCCAUGCACCAUGGUUAAAGAAGAUCUGCAUAAAGAAGAUGCGAAGGAGAUCAGCUGCCACCACUGGUGCCCCCACUCACAUUUUGGAAAGUCUGCUCUCCUCUCCAGUUCAAGGCCUGCAGUCCCUGCCAGGUGCUGAGGUUCAAACGUGAGCAAGAUUCACCUGCCUCUGUCUCCUCUCCAGGGACAGUGCCACAAACACACCAAAUCGCUGUCUAGAGCAGGAGGGACCCUGGGCCUCUGUCUACAACAGCAGGGACACCAAGCCUCUCUCUCUGCUGCAGCACAUGUCACAGCAAAAUUCGCAUUGUUAUUCUGUUUGUUCAGAGCAAAGCGUGAAGCACAGGGUUUUGGGAAUGGCUCGGUCCCAGAUGCAUCCUUUUGACUGGAAAGUCCCUCUCCGAUCUGCCUGUCUGUCCUGUCUCCGUAUCCCUUAAAGUCAUCUGCUCAGAAAAGCCCUGUGCAUAAUAUCCUGGUGUUUUGUUUCUGUCUGUUUUUGGAAGAAUAAAAUAUCCAGGACUAAGGAAGAGCUUAUAAGGAAAGGAGUUUUCUAUGGUUUAAAGUUCUGGAGGCUGUGAAAUCUAAGAUUAUAGCUGGCACUUGCUGGGAUUUGGUGAAGGACACUUUGCUACACUGCAGUUCAGAGGCCCACCACACUAUAACCAGCUUGCCUAUGUUCCCUGCAGCAGCGUGGGGCAGGAGAGUGCCUAGCUGAGCUGAUUGCAUGAUUGUUCUUAGCACCCCUCUGACUGUGACCUGGACUCCACACAUGUUUGAGAGUAUGUUGUCAAGCCUCAGUUUUCCCAUGUGGGAUGCUUACACGUUCUAAGCCUGUCUCUCCAGCCGUGGAGAACUCCUGGGGAAGGGAUGAAAGUUUGAGGCAUCAACUUUCAACCUCACUCUCUAUUGACAUAACCUAGGGAUGCUUUGAUGUCUCCGCUGCAUCAACGUUCAUCCAGACUCACUGGGGCUAAG
rnacentral:lncRNA from 1 species